UCGAGGUUGGAAUUCUGUGUA
rnacentral:siRNA from 1 species